UGGGGAAUUUUGGACAAUGGGCGAAAGCCUGAUCCAGCAAUGCCGCGUGUGUGAAGAAGGCCUUCGGGUUGUAAAGCACUUUUGUCCGGAAAGAAAUCCUUGGCUCUAAUACAGUCGGGGGAUGACGGUACCGGAAGAAUAAGCACCGGCUAACUACGUGCCAGCAGCCGCGGUAAUACGUAGGGUGCAAGCGUUAAUCGAGAUUACUGGGCGUAAAGCGUGCGCAGGCGGUUUGCUAAGACCGAUGUGAAAUCCCCGGGCUCAACCUGGGAACUGCAUUGGUGACUGGCAGGCUAGAGUAUGGCAGAGGGGGGUAGAAUUCCACGUGUAGCAGUGAAAUGCGUAGAGAUGUGGAGGAAUACCGAUGGCGAAGGCAGCCCCCUGGGCCAAUACUGACGCUCAUGCACGAAAGCGUGGGGAGCAAACAGGAUUAGAUACCCUGGUAGUCCACGCCCUAAACGAUGUCAACUAGUUGUUGGGGAUUCAUUUCCUUAGUAACGUAGCUAACGCGUGAAGUUGACCGCCUGGGGAGUACGGUCGCAAGAUUAAAACUUAAAUGAAUUGACGGGGUCAUAGCUGUUUCCU
rnacentral:rRNA from 1 species